CCUCUGGCUGACAUGGCUGCUUCCCGCUUACCCCCAGCGACGCUAACGUUAAAGCAGUUCAUAAGAAGGCAACAAGUUCUUCUCCUCUACAGAAGGAUUUUGCAAACAAUUCGGCAAGUUCCAAAUGAUUCUGAUCGCAAAUACCUGAAGGAUUGGGCAAGGGAAGAAUUCAAAAGAAACAAAAGUGCCACCGAAGAGGCUUCGCCCACGACUGAAGCGCAAGACCUGAAGGAGGCAAACGGCAUUGUUACAACCACUGGUGUGCGCAGCAUCCGUGUGAGAGAAUUCUCCUUGGACCGGGGCUCUGACCUAACAGAAUUUACAGCCUAGAGGGUGAGAGCAGGUGCGCACAUCAAGCAAGCACCUCUGACCACCUACCAACUUCCUAGGUCUUGUCCUGGGCACUACAGGGACGCGGAGACAGGGCACACCCCUCGUGGAUGAGUGCCGCGAUGAUCUCUGUGUUCCCGACCACUGUGGCCCGGUGCAAGGCGGUCUGGUCCCCCUGCAAAAUGACACAAAGGCAGGAACAGCAGUCAACUCCCCUGCACGCCCUGCUUGCACUACUCACUUGACACUUGGACACAAGGGCCCCUCCCAUCCCCACACAGAGCAGAGUGGUUAUUCGCAGAAGGGCUUGGUUACCGCAGGCAAGGCGGGCUUUGUGGUCUUGUUAGUAGACAACGCAUACUGGCAGAGCAGUCUGGUUCAUAAACUAAGAGGGAGACCUUAAGCCAACAGCAAGAAUAGCCCUCGGCCACAAAGCCAACCUCAGAAUGAGGGUCAGGCUCUCUCCUGCCAUCCAGGGGACAUGACUAUCACAGGUGUGAAGAGUGGGUGUGAGGGCAGGUGUGUGCUAUGCAAUUAAAGCAGCAAUGCUUGCCGAGUUCCCAGUUUGCAGGGGGACCACUGCCAGUUAGCAGCACUCAUGAUUUGAUGACAGGCGAGUCAUUUGUUCAUUGACUUGUACUAGUCAAGAGCAAUGCAGGGGUUUGCCCUAUUUCAUCUGAGGACUCCAGGGCCUGCAGCUAUCACUGCAUGUUUCUAAGAAGCCUCUUCAGAGAUUUCAUGACAACAUCCUCACUGAUUUAUGCUGCACUCUGAGCCCUUUUCUCUGUGAUCAGAUUCCUGGGAUUGCCGGCCGUUGUUCUCCUUUAGGCACCAAAGGGAACUUGACUCUUCCUAAUUGCAGUUGAGUGAAGGAUGAAACACUCUCAGAGGUAAGUAGGUCAAGACUGUAACAGGAGAGCUCUGAAGUCUCUAAGAGCACCCUUUAUCUCUGACAGGUCCUCAGGAAGCUAAGUUGAGGUAAACCAAGCUAAGCCUGUGGUCCAGCCUUGAAAGGGAGGAUGGGUGGGCAGUGAGGAAAUGCUCUGGUGGAAAGCAAUGAGCACGACACAAGGGGUCAGUAGGCCUGGGCUGUGCACAGCUUGCUAGAAGCCUGUCACCCUGCUGGACCUCAGGUGUGUCACCCUGGAUGAUCCCCAGGGUCCCUCCAUUCCCUUCUUGGAUACUAUGAUUUGGCUGGUCAGAGUUUUGUGAAGUUUCCUGGCAGAGCACCAGAGGGGCAAAGGAAACAUUCUGGGGCGUCCCUGGUGCUUGGCCCAACAGAGGACAGAGGUCAUCAUAAGAUAAAACAGAUUUUUAAAAAGAAGGAUGCACUGCUACCUAUUAACAACCUUAACGAAAUACUGAUUUUACUUAUUAAACUCCCCGGAUCUAUAACAAACGACAAUGCACACUAAAAACAUGUAAUCUGUAACAAAGUUCUAAAGAUAGACGGUGGUGAUGGCUGCACAACAAUGUGAGUGUAAUUAAUGCCACUGAACCGUAUACGUAAAUAUGUUCAGAUGGUAAAUUUAAUGCUAUGUAUAUUUUAUCGCAAUAAAAAAAUCCUAGUUAAAACUCAAAA